UACGUAGGGUGCGAGCGUUGUCCGGAAUUAUUGGGCGUAAAGAGCUCGUAGGCGGUGUGUCACGUCGGCCGUGAAAACCUGCAGCUUAACUGUGGGCGUGCGGUCGAUACGGGCAUCACUGGAGUUCGGCAGGGGAGACUGGAAUUCCUGGUGUAGCGGUGAAAUGCGCAGAUAUCAGGAGGAACACCGGUGGCGAAGGCGGCCUGCUGGGCAGUUUUAGCUGACACUGAGGCGCGACAGCGUGGGGAGCAAACAGG
rnacentral:rRNA from 1 species